GAAAUUGCUCCCUAGUGUUACAUAUCAUAGUACAACAAAAUCUAAAAUAAAGGAAUUAAAAGAAAAUCUCCAGGAACAACAUUCCACUCACAGCAGCGACUCUACUCUCGAGUAUCCGCAUGAUGCCCGUGUAAAGGAAACAUUCAAACAGAAGGGGUGAGAAAUCAUAUUCAAUAAUAUCAUGCAUAUAUUACAUGGUAGGAUAUCA
rnacentral:lncRNA from 1 species